UACAGAGGGGGCAAGCGUUGUUCGGAAUUACUGGGCGUAAAGGGCGCGUAGGCGGCCCGCUAAGUCGAACGUGAAAUCCCCGGGCUCAACCCGGGAACUGCGUCCGAGACUGGAAGGCUCGAAUCCGGGAGAGGGAUGCAGAAUUCCAGGUGUAGCGGUGAAAUGCGUAGAUAUCUGGAGGAAUACCGGUGGCGAAGGCGGCAUCCUGGACCGGCAUUGACGCUGAUGUGCGAAAGCUAGGGGAGCAAACGGG
rnacentral:rRNA from 1 species